rnacentral:snRNA from 1 species
GUGCUUGCUUUGGCGGCGCAUAUACUAAAAUUCAAAUGAUACAGAGAAGAUUAGUGUGGCCCCUGUGCAAGGAUGACAUACAAAUCCAUGAAGGGUUCCAGUUAAAA